rnacentral:rRNA from 1 species
CAAUAGCGUAUAUUUAAGUUGCUGCAGUUAAAAAGCUCGUAGUUGGAUUUCGGGUGGGAAUGGCCGGUCCGCCGUUUCGGUGUGCACUUGCUACGCCCACCUUGCUGCCGGGGACGUGCUCUUGAGUUCACGCUCGGGACACGGAGUCGGCGAGGUUACUUUGAGUAAAUUAGAGUGUUCAAAGCAGGCCUACGCUCUGAAUACAUUAGCAUGGAAUAACACGAUAGGACUCUGGCCUAUCUUGUUGGUCUGUAGGACCGGAGUAAUGAUUAAGAGGGACAGUCGGGGGCAAUCGUAUUUCAUUGUCAGAGGUGAAAUUCUUGGAUUUAUGAAAGACGAACUACUGCGAAAGCAUUUGCCAAGGAUGUUUUCAUUAA